rnacentral:rRNA from 1 species
UACGUAGGGACCAAGCGUUGUUCGGAUUUACUGGGCGUAAAGGGCGCGUAGGCGGCAAUUCAAGUCAUCUGUGAAAUCCCUCGGCUUAACCGGGGAACUGCGUCCGAUACUGGAGGGCUUGAGUGUGGGAGAGGGAUGCGGAAUUCCAGGUGUAGCGGUGAAAUGCGUAGAUAUCUGGAGGAACACCGGUGGCGAAGGCGGCAUCCUGGACCAUGACUGACGCUGAGGAGCGAAAGCCAGGGGAGCAAACGGG